AGAGUUUGAUCAUGGCUCAGGACGAACGCUGGCGGCGUGCUUAACACAUGCAAGUGGUGCGACGAACCAGGGCUUGCCCUGGGGCAAAGCCGCGAACGGGUGAGUAACACGUGGGUAACCUGCCCCGAUGACCGGGACAACCCGAGGAAACUCGGGCUAAUACCGGAUGUGGCGCACAGGCAUAAGCCUGUUCGCUAAAGGAAGCUUCGGCCUCCGCAUUGGGAGGGGCCCGCGGCCCAUUAGCUUGUUGGUGGGGUCACGGCCUACCAAGGCGACGAUGGGUAGCUGGUCUGAGAGGACGAUCAGCCACACUGGGACUGAGACACGGCCCAGACUCCUACGGGAGGCAGCAGUGGGGAAUCUUGCGCAAUGCGCGAAAGCGUGACGCAGCAACGCCGCGUGGGGGAAGACGGCCUUCGGGUUGUAAACCCCUUUCAGGAGGGACGAAGGUUCACCGGUGAAUAGCCGUGUGGAUUGACGGUACCUCCAGAAGAAGCUCCGGCUAACUACGUGCCAGCAGCCGCGGUAAUACGUAGGGAGCAAGCGUUGUCCGGAAUCAUUGGGCGUAAAGCGCGCGUAGGCGGCCCUGUAAGUCCGUUGUAAAAGUCAAAGGCUCAACCUUUGAAAGCCGAUGGAUACUGCAGGGCUAGAGUCCGGAAGAGGCGAGUGGAAUUCCUGGUGUAGCGGUGGAAUGCGCAGAUAUCAGGAGGAACACCAAUAGCGAAGGCAGCUCGCUGGGACGGUACUGACGCUAAGGCGCGAAAGCGUGGGGAGCGAACAGGAUUAGAUACCCUAGUAGUCC
rnacentral:rRNA from 1 species